rnacentral:lncRNA from 1 species
UUUCAUUUUUUCCUUUUUUAUAAAGUGGGUUCACUAGUUAGGUGGGUCCCCAUUGUCAGGUUAUAGUACUGGGUCCUAGCCAUCAGGGCAAUAUUCUUCAAUUUUUUAAUUUAACGCAAAUAAAUACCUAGUAUUUAAAUUGGCACACAGAACACACGAAAUACUUCAAAUAUUAUCAACCAUCAAAGCGUUACAUCAUAUAACACACAUACAAAUGUGAUCAGCAUCAAGUUUACAAUCAGAUAACAAGCUCCACAAGUGUACAAUCACAUGAGCCAGAUUCUGCUACAUCAUAUAACACACAUACAAAUAGGAGCAGCAGAAAGGGCUUCAUUACUCUCAGAACUAGCUCCAAUGAGCUAGAACUAUUCUUCCUCCGACUUCUUUGUCCUGAUGCUCACGAAGAAACAUGAAAGCCAGCAUCUGCAUGUUACAGAACAAAAUGUUUAGGAACAAAAUAUAAGUAAAUCUAACAGCAUAUUUAACAAUAAAUAACAGAAUAAUGAAGUUAAUGAGACAUUUUAGAAUCAACUUGACAGUUGACUAUAAUGUUUGCAUUGGACACAUCCAAAACUAAAAUUAUACAUAAAUGCCUAAAUUCCAAUGCCCAAUGCCUCAGUUUAGUAAACACUAAGGGUACAUAGUAAAGAUUUGACACAACCAGAACUGAAAUCAUUUACUCUAUCAAGCAACAAUGAUGCAGCACACAAGAAAAGAGAGAUGCACAACGGAGCAGCAUCGUAUAUGACACAAUAUGGACACUGCAAGCUCACCGAAGAACUUGUGGUCGCCACCGUACACAGCCGCCAUAACGCCGGUCACCUCGUUGAUCUUGUCCUUGAAGUUCUCUAACUCCAGGUUGUUCCACUGCAGCUCGGUAUUUGCUCAACCGUAUGUGUACAUGCAUCAGGGCAUACAUAAAAUAUUCAAGUCAAUAUUCUCAGCUAACUGUGAUGUAAUGAAAAUAAUUACUUAAGGACUUGGGGUAAAAAUUGAUUUUAGACAUCAAAAUUUGCAGUGCUCAUUUCAACCAUGUUCAGAUAAACUUGAGGUAAAUUAGCAGUAAUGAUAUUAGUUGCAAGCUAGGUGUGUAACUGUUGUCAACACCACCACCACCAGAGACACUCAAGAUAAGCAUCAACACCAACAUGAUCUUGAUAUUAGCCACCCCAUAUCACCAGAGCAUCAUAGGAGCAUAUAUAUAAAGCAAGUACACAUGGGCAGCUACUGACAGACCCUAGAACCGCAUGAAUUUAUCACCAGAGAGCUCCAGUAGGAGUUGAUGCUUGGUUACAACAUCUAGCAGCAACUAGUAGAGCCCCACAUCCAACCCAAAUCAUGGCCAAGGCCAUGCAGGAGCUACAUCAGAGAAGAAGGAACAGGGAGGAGCUCACCAGAGGGAGGUUGUAGCCGUAGCAGAGGCUCAGCCACACCACGGCUGCUGUGGAUGGUGACUCCAGGACAGCAGAGUAACAACAACGAUUCAGACUUGUUCCUCCAUGAGCAUGAGCUGCUGCAGAUGGAGCUCCUCCUCCUAGGCUUGUUGGCCCCAUCCUGCUCGUCACCAAUCGAUGUGCCGUCCCUGUGGUUGUGGAAUAGGAGCGCAUCAGGAAACCAAGGAAGAGAAGAUCAAAUCAUUUUUAUAUACACCCGUCUAAAUACACCCCACUAAAUACACCCAUCUAAAUACGUCCCGUGGUUAUGUUCAUAAUCAGAUCAGACAUUGAAUGAAACAAAAAUACACCCCACUGAUGAAGCCGCAAUAAUUGUCUUGGAUGUAUCCAUCACAGCAAUAAACAAGCACCAUAUUUCGCCAAAUCUCUAUUCUAUAAACAAUUUUCUCUGGACGAACUAUUCAAACCACCCAUCUAAACAAUACCGCAUCUGUCGUCACUCAAGUCAAUAAUACUCGUUGACAGGUCCACCAUCCAACACAAGGAUAAGAUACAGAAUUGGUGCAUCAUUUCAGGCAGCGCAAGCAAACUAAACAAAACAGCUUAAACCCUAGAUAAAUCUUAUGGCCGGUUGGGGGAAAGCAGAAACGGAAGAAGUACUAGAUUCAAAUUGCACAUUCAGUCAAGUUUAGUCAAUACAUGUAUGACACAGCCAUGCAUGACACAAACAAAAUAUACAGUUCAUCUCCUGAUCCACAUUACAAUCCAAGGCAAAGUACUAGUAAAUAAAAUAGUACGUACUCUGGUGACCACCGAGCUAGCUGAUUACCAGUUUACCACACUGAUUAUGACAGGAACAGAAACGAAAGGGAACUACUAAAUAAGAUAGGAACGGAAGGGUGCGGUGUUGAUUUUGAUCACCAGGAGAACAGAAGACCCGAAUCAAGGCAAACUCAUUGACUGAAGAUGAGGAAGCUAGCUAUGCAUGUAUGCAGUGUGAAUCGGCUGGCCUUAAACCACAGAGAAGAGUAGGCAUGUUAAUUAAUAAGAGUCCUAAAAGGCUAAAAUAGAGAUGGCCGUCAGAAUAAAUCCUUUCCUUGUUUCAAGAGAAAAGAAACAAAAAGAAAAGGGUGAAGUGAAAGCAUCUGCAAAAGAAAAUUCGCAUGCAUACAGUGGCGUCUGCAUCAAUCAAGAUUAUUAAAGCUUGCAGCAGAGUGAGUACGCAUGAAGGUUUAGCGCUAACAUUGCCCAGCCGACCGUCGAUCUCUCUGCAGAAACAAAAGAAGAGCUACAUCAGCAACAGCAUGCAACAUAUUUCAGGUUGAUUGGAACCAAAACAAAGCAACAUGAGAAGCAGGCAGCAUAUAACAGGCUAGACGAAAGCAACAUAUGGAUGAAUGAAAUGGAGCGUUGUGUAUAUCAAGAUGUAAUCAAAGCUGAACCCAAAUGAGAUGAUUCUGGUUAGCCAUCGAUCUCCUUUACACUUCUUAUAAGUGGGAUAGGGGAACAAACCACAAGGCUACCUACGUCCGGCCUUUGUCCGGCCUUUGUUCAGGUGAACCCAAAUAUAUGACUGAAUGUAUGAUUGAGAAUGUGCAUGUACAGUGAGACCAACAAAUAUUCCACUGAUUUCUGACAGAUAUGUGUACAUAUAUUCCAAUGUGUUUGUACAAUACUAGAGCAUAACUGAAUUUUGACAGAACACAUAUAUGAAGUGAACUUUAGCACUGAAUUCUGGCCAGUACAGCAGUAAUUUUGCACAAGCAUGUAUGAACUGAACAGACAAAUAUUAUAACUAAACCUUUGCCAAUACAUCACUUCUUCACAAAGAUAUAUGAAGUAAACUGAACACAGAUAGAUCCUAACUGAACUCUUGACAGUACAGCAACAUGAUAAGUUCUGAAGAAGAAUAGUAUAGACGAUGCUCUCUAUUUCUUCACCAUUGCACAUCAAGAACAUGGAACGGAGCUUAGACUUGCGGAUGCGGGCAGCCGGGUAACCGCACGAGGAGCAGGUGCUCUUCUGGAGGUGGAAGCUGCGACGGCCGUAGCGGAUGCAGAGCGUGUGGGAGAGAGGGCCUCUCUGGGAGGGAGGGGAGGAUCUUGGCGCAGCGGCGGGGACCUGUUGUAUCUGGUCGACGAGGUUGCAAGAUCCGAGGCGGAGCUUCUGCUGGUGGCGUCCAUGGCCUUGGCCGGAGCUCCUAUUCAUUCCCUGUGAGACAGAGAGGCCGCAAGGUGACGGAGAGGGAAGGAAAAGGCAGAGGAUGAGGAGGAGGGGAUGGGGACAAGACGAACCUCGCCAAGGACGUCGGGGAAGAGAGGGUGGAGACGCGUGCUGGGGGGUGGGUCACGCGAGGAGCACCAAAUCCGGACGCGUGCUGGGGGGUGGAGACGGUGCAACGGCCAGAGGAGCUGCUCAAUCCAGAUGGGCGACUGCGUCCCGGAUCUCACGGGAGGAGGGGCUAUGCGCCGCCCUGAUCCCGGAUUCGGCGGCCUCUAGCCUCGCCGUCGCCAUCGCCGGUGGCUGCUCUGGCUGGCGCCAUGGGUGGUGGCUGGGUCUGGAUCGGGGAGAGGGAGGUGGAGGUGGCGGCGGCAGGGAGGAGCGGAGCUCUAGGGUUCGGGCAAGAGGGAGAGAGGCUGGAUGAAUGGAUCGAUGGACGGAUGCUUUCUGCGGUGGGCUGUAUCAAUUGAUCGAUGGAUGGAUGUUUGCCACAUCACUGAUCCAUGCCACAACAGAUUCCACCAAUCAUAAUUCACCUUGCGUAGUUUUGUUUUUUCUUCUGUUUUUUAAUAUUUUGUACCCUCUUAUUCUGGGUAAACAUUCAACAUAUUACCGCUUAUAGUUUUUUCAAAUGACCCAAUAUUUUGCACAAGUGUGUAUCUUGGGACAACAAACAAUGUUGAUUUGAGGGGUUUUCAUUUUCUUUGCACAAAAAAUCAUUUUUCAAUUUUUGGAGUGCCAAUAAUCGGGUUUUUUGUGAAGGACGUACCAUAUAUUUGUUGCAAAAUUGGACCAAAUCAUUUUUCUAAAAUACUAGGUCAUUUUUAAUGCACAAUUGAUCAAAUGGUUGGGUGUCAAAAGAUUCAAGCCACCUCUCGUGAAAAAGACAAAUUUCAGCCGAUUCAGUAGGAAGUGGGUCAAAUUUGAACUGCAGCUGCCUCAUAGUUUGCUCACGAUUUUUUUCCAAAAAUCAUUUCUAGGUACAAAAGUAUCUAUUUCAUUAGAGAGACACAAAAAGUUUUCCAAGAUUCAACCACUAGCUAGGAACGGUCAUUCCCGCCGUUUUGACCGCAUUUUGAAACGGGCAUAAAAAAUUCAAAAAAUUGGGAAACCUUCGCAUUGUGUCAUUAUAUGUGGCCAAGUUCCCAGGAAAAAUAACAAACUUGUAAUACGACAAUUAUUUUAAAAAAUUGUUCUCAGAAACGAGCUAUCACGUGUGGAGAUCAAUGGCUUUCAAGCCAAAUGAUCAAUCUUAUGGCCACAUUCAUGGCAUAGUUUGUUCAAAUGAUCUCAUAUUGUGCACAAGGGUGCAUAUUGGAAUGGCAAACAAUGUUGCCUAAGUAAGUUUUCAUUUUCUUUGGACGAAAAAACCAUUUUCCAUUUUUCGAGUGCCCAAAAGGAGGUUUUUUGGUGAAGGACCUCCCAAAUAAUUGUUGCAAAAUUGGACCAAAUCAAUUUUCUAAAAUACUAGGACAUAUUUAAUGCACAAUUGACAAAAUUAUUGGGUGUAAAAAGUUUUGAUCCACCUCUCAUGAAAAAGACAAAUUUCCGCCGAUUCAGCUGGAAGCGGGUCAAAUUUAAACUGUAGCUGCCUUGUAGUUUGCUAUUUAUUUUUUCCAAAAAUCAUUUCUAGUUACAUAAGUACCUAUUAAAUCAGAGAAACACCAACAAAAAUCCAAGAUUCAACCACUAGCUAGGAACGGUCAUUCCCGCCGUUUUGACCGCAUUUUGAAACGGGCAUAAAAUAUUCAAAAAACUCAAAAAAUUGGGAAACCUUCGCAUUGUGUCAUUAUAUGUGGCCAAGUUCCCAGGAAAAAUAACAAACUUGUAAUACGGAAAUUAUUUUAAAAAAGUGUUCUCAGAAACGAGCUAUCACGUGUGGAGAUCAAUGGCUUUCAAGCCAAAUGAUCAAUCUUAUGGCCACAUUCAUGGCAUAGUUUGUUCAAAUGAUCUCAUAUUGUGCACAAGGGUGCAUAUUGGAAUGGCAAACAAUGUUGCCUAAGGAAGUUUUCAUUUUCUUUGGAGGAAAAAACCAUUUUCCAUUGUUCGAGUGCCCAAAAGGAGGUUUUUUUUGUGAAGGACCUCCCAAAUAAUUGUUGCAAAAUUGGACCAAAUCAAUUUUCAAAAAUACUAGGACAUAUUUAAUGCACAAUUGACAAAAUGGUUGGGUGUAAAAAGUUUUGAUCCACCUCUCGUGAAAAAGACAAAUUUCCGCCGAUUCAGGUGGAAGCGGGUCAAAUUUGAACUGCAGCUGCCUCAUAGUUUUCUAUUUAUUUUUUCCAAAAAUCAUUUAUAGUUACAUAAGUACCUAUUUAAUCAUAAAUACAUGGUUUGGUGCUGAUACGUCGAGGUUUGGGCGGUGGCCGAGGGCCCCAACUCUAGAGCGCGUAAACUCGCAUGCCCGCCGCGUGGUCACCGCGUGACCGUGGCGUUGCCAUGUGUUCUGGGCAGCCUAGGCAUGUCUAGUGGGUUGGGCACUCCCCAGGUAGGUGUUAGGAAGAAAAUUACAACAUAAGAUUCUCACGAGGAGACCGAUCGAUGCUCAAACAUGAAUUAGCAGCCAAGUGUUUGAUUAGCGGUACGGGAAAUGUACAUGGCUAAUGGGCGUGAGUUUUGGCUGAGGAUGAUCAAUUACUAAGAAGACCGUCUUCACAAAUUUACAGCUCAAAAGGAGGAUCCUAGGUGGUACUUGCUUUGCAAAGUACCACAUUGGACAUAAAUACGAAUGUUGAAGCUGGGCUCAAAAUAAUGAAUGGAUUGAGCUGGCAUUUGGUGGAGGAUGGUUAUUUGGGCAUAGGAAAGCACCGUAGAAAAUGGAUACUAUUUGGACAUGCCAAAGUGGUACUUCCUUCACAAAGCGUUGUUCUGAACAGAAUAGGAAAAUGAAUAUUGUUGAAUUAUUUUUGAACUAGGCAAGGAAGGUUUUUUUUACAUAUUUGACGAAGAUAUGACCCAAAGAAUUUAUGAGAUUUUUUUGGGAAUUUCGGGAAUGACAGAAAUAUAGGUUGCUUCACAACCUGGGGCAAAAAUUGCCACAUGGACAUGACACAUAGGCAAAACUGAUGAGGUGGCGCCUAGUCAUAGCAACCCACCACAAUUUACAAGGUUAUGACCAUCUAUAUUGGUCGUGAUCAGCUAGAAAUAAGGCAGCGGACCAGUGCUAUCUGCUUUAUGACCAUUUCAUGUAAGGAAAUUACGACCUUUCUGACCAAAAUGGUCGUUAUAGUUUAGGGUUUGGAGCCCCCCGAACAGCUUCUGACCAAUUGGUCUGAAAUGGUCAUAGAUCUAUGACCAAUUCUUCCAGGGUCACUGACAGAAGGUCACUAGUUGACAUAUUUCUUGUAGUGAUAGUUGGACAGCACCCGUUGUUUCGGACAAGCCGUGGAGUGUGAUUGUUGGUGGAGGGGGAGUAAAAUCUUUACCUUUCUGUUUGGGAACCGCCUAUAAUGUAUCUAGUAUGGAAGAUAUUGGGAACUCUUGGUCGUUAUGUUGACAAUGAAAGCAUACCUCUCAAAAUUAUUUUCAUCUCUGUUUUAGCUUCGAGCUCUGGCACCUCUGCAAAUCCCUGCUUCCCUCUGCGAAGGGCCUAUCGUUUACUUUUAUGCAAGAGUCAGUAGUAUUCCUUCUCAUUCCAACCUACUUUUUAGUUGGCAAGCAUCAUGUGGUGGAGAAAGAUCUAAGCAUAUAUGGCCAUUCAAAUAUAUUUGAUCAUGAAUUAUUAUUGUUGACAUUUAUCUAUAUGAUAAAUAAGUUGGGAGGCGAAACAUUAAGCCCCUAUCUUUCUCUGUGUUCAAUGGAUGCUAUUUGUUCUAAAAAUAUGCUUUGAGUGUUAGCAAUCAUGGAAGACUGUAUGAUAGUUGAGUAUGUGGGAUUUGCUAAAUCAAAUCUCUUACAUAGACCCUUCCUGAAAAUAAGAUGAAUUGCAAUUGUUUGAUGACUGAGAACAUAGUUUGUUAGUUUUCAAGAAAGUUUAUGGUCUAUGCUUUAACAUGUGAAUAGCUUGUUACUUGAUCAUGAAAAGUUUUAUGAGUUGAGCUACUGUUAUGACAUAUAAUGGUGAUUGAAAUUAUCAUUGAUCAAACUUGUGCACCUGCUAGCAUUCACACUUCAUAAAUUAUUUCUUUUAUCAUUUACCUACUCGAGGACGAGCAGGAAUUAAGCUUGAGGAUGCUGAUACGUCUCCAAUGUAUCUAUAAUUUAUGAAGUAUUCAUGCUAUUAUAUUAUCUUUUUUGGAUGUUUAUGGGCUUUACUAAACACUUUUAUAUUAUUUUUGGGACUAACCUAUUAACCGGAGGCCCAACCCAAACUAUUGUUUUCUUGCCUAUUUCAGUGUUUCGAAGAAAAGGAAUAUCAAACGGAGUCCAAACGGAAUGAAACCUUCAGGAGAGUUAUUUUUGGAACGGAAGCAAUCCAGGAGACUUGGAAUAGACGUCAGGGAAGCUUCGAGGAAGCCACGAGGCAGGGAGGCGCGUCCUACCCCCUGGGCGUGCCCCCCACCCUCGUGGGCCCCUCGUGGCUCCCCUGACCGACUUCUUCCGCGUAUAUAUAUCCAUAUACCCUAAAAACAUCGAUGAACACAAUAGAUCGGGAGUUCCGCCGCCGCAAGCCUCUGUAGCCACCAAAAACCAAUCGGGACCCUGUUCCGGCAUCCUGCCGGAGGGGGGAUCCCUCACCGGUGGCCAUGACAAGGAGGGAGUAGUUCACCCUCGGGGCUGAGGGUAUGUACCAGUAGCUACGUGUUUGAUCUCUCUCUCUCUCUCUCUCUCUCUCGUGUUCUUGAUUUGGCACGAUCUUGAUGUAUCGCGAGCUUUGCUAUUAUAGUUGGAUCUUAUGAUGUUUCUCCCCCUCUACUCUCUUGUAAUGGAUUGAGUUUUCCCUUUGAAGUUAUCUUAUCAGAUUGAGUCUUUAAGGAUUUGAGAACACUUGAUGUAUGUCUUGCAUGUGCUUAUCUGUGGUGACAAUGGGAUAUUCAUGUGAUCUACUUGAUGUAUGUUUUGGUGAUCAACUUGCGGGUUCUGUGACCUUGUGAACUUAUGCAUAGGGGUUGGCACACGUUUUCGUCUUGACUCACCGGUAGAAACUUUGGGGCACUCUUUGAUGAAGUACUUUGUGUUGGUUUGAAUAGAUGAAUCUGAGAUUGUGUGAUGCAUAUCGUAUAAUCAUACCCACGGAUACUUGAGGUGACAUUGGAGUAUCUAGGUGACAUUAGGGUUUUGGUUGAUUUGUGUCUUAAGGUGUUAUUCUAGUACGAACUCUAUGAUAGAUCGAACGGAAAGAAUAGCUUCAUGUUAUUUUACUACGGACUCUUGAAUAGAUUGAUCAGAAAGAAUUACAUUGAGGUGGUUUCGUACCCUACCAUAAUCUCCUCGUUUGUUCUCCGCUAUUAGUGACUUUGGAGUGACUCUUUGUUGCAUGUUGAGGGAUAGUUAUAUGAUCUAGUUAUGUUAUUAUUGUUGAGAGAACUUGCACUAGUGGAAGUAUGAACCCUAGGACUUGUUUCCUAGCAUUGCAAUACCGUUUACGCUCACUUUUACCACUUGCUACCUUGCUGUUUUUAUAUUUUCAGAUUACAAAAACCUAUAUCUACCAUCCAUAUUGCACUUGUAUCACCAUCUCUUCGCCGAACUAGUGCACCUAUACAAUUUACCAUUGUAUUGGGUGUGUUGGGGACACAAGAGACUCUUUGUUAUUUGGUUGCAGGGUUGUUUGAGAGAGACCAUCUUCAUCCUACGCCUCCCACGGAUUGAUAAACCUUAGGUCAUCCACUUGAGGGAAAUUUGCUACUGUCCUACAAACCUCUGUACUUGGAGGCCCAACAACGUCUACAAGAAGAAGGUUGUGUAGUAGACAUCAGCCUGCCCCAAGGACCCCUUCCCACUACCUCGCAUCGACCAGAUUAUCGAUGCAACCGCCGGACACGAUUCAUUGUGUUUCCACGACGCAUACUCCGGAUACCGUCAAAUUAAGAUGAAGGAAUCCGACUAAGCCGCAACGGUAUUCAUCACCCCGUACGGGCCUUUCUGCUUCAACACCAUGCUGAAAGUGCGUUAAGUCGACUAGAGGGGGGUGAAUAGGCGAUUUUUAUGAAUUCUUCACUGAGGAAUUUCAGGGUGAGGAAAUUCCUAAGCGAAGAACUACUUGCAGUGGAAUAAGUACUCAGAUGCAUGCAUGACAUAACGUAAGCAUGGACAUUAUGAUGAAAUUGAUACAAACACAGAGUACAGGAAGCGUAAGCACAGGAUAAAACAGGAUGAAGACAAACAGACUAAAGAAAUUGAACUGAGGAAAUUGAGAAAGUCUUCAGUCAAAGUCUUCAAACAGAUAUGAACAAGCACACACAAUAAUGAGGAAAUGGAAGGGUUGGGUAAAUAGAACCAGUUAGCUCGGUGAAGACAAUGAUUUGGUAGACCAGUACCAACUGCCGUGACAGUUGUACGUGUGGUUGGAGCGGCUAGGUAUUUAAACCUGAGGACACACAGUCCCGGACACACAGUCCUCACCGUAUUCUCCUAGAGCUAAGGUCACACAAACCUCUCCCAAUCACUCGUGGUAAGUCUUCAGGUGACAUCCAAACCUUCACAAACUCGGUCACUCGGCGAUCCACAAUUUCCUCUUGGAUGCUCUAGACCAUGACGCCUAACCGUCUGGAAGAUGCACAGUCUUCAAAGGUAACAAGCGUCGGAUCCACACAGGAACAAUUUCUUCAGUGAUGCUCAAUCACUUUGGGUUUGUAGGUGUUUGGGUUUGGGUUUUCCUCACUUGAUGAUUUUCGCUCAAACUCCUCGGAGGAUGGGAUGCUCUCAAUGACAAGUGUCAGUUUAUCUCGGAGCAGCCAUCCAGCUAGUGGUUGUAGGGGGGCGGCUAUUUAUAGCCUAGGGAGCAGCCCGACAUGAUAAGACAUAAAUGCCCUUCAAUGAUAUGACCGUUAGGUGGAUAAGAUAUUUUGGGAUAGCUGGCGCAUAGCACAGCAACGGUCGGAAAUUUGAGGUACAAAUUCCUCAGGGCUAUCAUGAUCCUCACUUGUAGGCAAUCCGCACUAGCGAAUUCCUAACUCCCCAGUCAGAACAAAUUCCUCAGAGACUAGAAGAACUUCGUCUCUGUCACUGAUGAAAUUUACUGAACUGCAUGAGAUUUCCAAUGGCUUCACUCGAAAGGAUUGGUAGGUGUAGGAUUUUGAGAUGAGCAUCA